rnacentral:rRNA from 1 species
UACGUAGGGUUCAAGCGUUGUCCGGAAUUAUUGGGCGUAAAGAGCUCGUAGGCGGUCUGUCGCGUCUGCUGUGAAAACUCAGGGCUUAACCCUGAGCUUGCAGUGGGUACGGGCAGACUAGAGUGCGGUAGGGGAGACUGGAAUUCCUGGUGUAGCGGUGAAAUGCGCAGAUAUCAGGAGGAACACCGGUGGCGAAGGCGGGUCUCUGGGCCGUAACUGACGCUGAGGAGCGAAAGCAUGGGGAGCGAACAGG